UGAGCGACCUGCCGAUCUGCGGGGGAUAGCCGGCCCAACGGCCGGGUAAUACCGCAUACGCUCCCCUCCGGGCAUCCGGGGGGCGAGGAAACCUCCGGGGCGGAUCGAGGGCUCGCGGCCUAUCAGCUAGUUGGGGGGUAACGCCUCCCAAGGCGGCGACGGGUAGCUGGU
rnacentral:rRNA from 1 species